rnacentral:rRNA from 1 species
UACGUAGGGUGCAGGCGUUAAUCGGAAUUACUGGGCGUAAAGCGUGCGCAGGCGGUUUGCUAAGACAGGUGUGAAAUCCCCGAGCUUAACUUGGGAACUGCGCUUGUAACUGGCAAGCUAGAGUGUGGCAGAGGGGGGUGGAAUUCCACGUGUAGCAGUGAAAUGCGUAGAUAUGCGGAGGAACACCGAUGGCGAAGGCAAUCCCCUGGGCCUGCACUGACGCUCAUGCACGAAAGCGUGGGGAGCAAACAGG